UACGAAGGGUGCAAGCGUUACUCGGAAUUACUGGGCGUAAAGCGUGCGUAGGCGGUUUGUUAAGUCUGUCGUGAAAGCCCCGGGCUCAACCUGGGAAUGGCGAUGGAUACUGGCGAGCUAGAGUACGGUAGAGGAGAGUGGAAUUCCCGGUGUAGCAGUGAAAUGCGUAGAGAUCAGGAGGAAUACCGAUGGCGAAGGCAGGUCUCUGGGCUGACACUGACGCUCAUGCACGAAAGCGUGGGGAGCAAACAGG
rnacentral:rRNA from 1 species